AAACGUCCACUGGGAUUUGAUACUUAUUACUGGGUAUUUUUUUUUUUUUCAAAGGAUACGGCCACAUCCAGACAUCACAACGAUGAUGAAUGGGAAUAAAAAUCACAACUAGAUGCCGACGGACAACUAGGAAAAAAACUCAACGUUUACCAAGACCAACGAGAGGUAACCAGACAUUAAUGAAUGACUGGAAGAGAUACAACCAUACGUCAACGGACGAAAUGGGAAAAAC
rnacentral:lncRNA from 1 species